CGGGGGGAGCAAGCGUUGUUCGGAUUUACUGGGCGUAAAGGGCGCGUAGGCGGCCAGCACAAGUCAGUUGUGAAAUCUCCGGGCUUAACUCGGAAAGGUCAACUGAUACUGUGCGGCUAGAGUGCAGAAGGGGCAACUGGAAUUCUCGGUGUAGCGGUGAAAUGCGUAGAUAUCGAGAGGAACACCUGCGGCGAAGGCGGGUUGCUGGGCUGACACUGACGCUGAUGCGCGAAAGCCAGGGGAGCGAACGGGAUUAGAUACCCCGGUAGUCCUGGCCUUAAACGAUGGAUGCUUGGUGUCUGGAGUUUUAUAGUCUACCGGGUGCCGCAGCUAACGCGUUAAGCAUCCCGCCUGGGGAGUACGGUCGCAAGACUG
rnacentral:rRNA from 1 species